rnacentral:rRNA from 1 species
UACGAAGGGGGCGAGCGUUGCUCGGAAUUACUGGGCGUAAAGCGCACGUAGGCGGCUUUCUAAGUCGGGGGUGAAAUCCUGGAGCUCAACUCCAGAACUGCCUCGAUACUGGAAAGCUCGAGUCCGGGAGAGGUGAGUGGGAACUGCGAGUGUAGAGGUGAAAUUCGUAGAUAUUGCAAGAACACCAGUGGCGAAGGCGGCUCACUGGCC